rnacentral:rRNA from 1 species
GGACCCGCACAAGUAGUGGAGCAUGUGGUUUAAUUCGAAGAUACGCGCAGAACCUUACCAACACUUGACAUGUUCGUCGCGACUUUAAGAGAUUAAAGUUUUCGGUUCGGCCGGACGAAACACAGGUGCUGCAUGGCUGUCGUCAGCUCGUGUCGUGAGAUGUUGGGUUAAGUCCCGCAACGAGCGCAACCCUCACUUUUAGUUGCCAUCAUUAAGUUGGGCACUCUGAAAGAACUGCCAGUGAUAAGCUGGAGGAAGGUGGGGAUGACGUCAAGUCCUCAUGGCCCUUACGUGUUGGGCUACACACGUGCUACAAUGGUAUCUACAACAGGAAGCAAAACAGCGAUGUUAAGCAAAUCCUUAAAAGAUACCUCAGUUCGGAUUGCACUCUGCAACUCGAGUGCAUG